rnacentral:lncRNA from 1 species
CAUAUUAUGCUUCCUCUAGCUGGUCUUCCCCAUGUCACUCUCACCAAUGCAAUCUCCUUGCCCCUUAAGUUCUUCACCUCUUGUUAUUUGUGAAACCCUCAACAAAGUCCUUAGAAAUAUUGUUCCACUUCCACUCUAGAAUACUCAAAGGUUGUAUUAACCCCGACGAAUCUUGAUGCUCCACCCUUGCCCUUUGCAAGACUAAACAAGUACACACAAAUUCAGC